ensembl:lncRNA
GUUUUCUUUGAAAAAAAAAUCAUCAUGAAUUUUGGCGCAAAAAAACGCCAUAGUAUACUAUGUCGAAAAAAAAUGCGAUUUUUCAACAUGUUGUGAAAACAUGCCAUAUGAUGAAAUAAUGUAAAGGAGGCCGUGAAAAACACUCUAGAAAGGUUUUCUUUGAAAAAAUAAUUAUUAUGAAUUUUGGCGCAAAAAAACGCCAUAGUAUACUAUGUCGAAAAAUGUCAUUUUUCAACAUGUGAAAACAUGCAAUAUGAUGAAAUAAUGUAAAGGAGGCCGUGAAAAACACUCUAGAAAGGUUUUCGUUGAAAAAAAAAUCAUCAUGAAUUUUGGCGCAAAAAAAACGCCAUAGUAUACUAUGUCGAAAAAAAAUGCGAUUUUUCAACAUGUUGUAAAAACGUGCCAUAUGAUGAAAUAAUGUAAAGCAGGCCAUGAAAAACACUCCAGAAAGGUUUUCUUUGAAAAAAAAAUCCUGAUGAAUUUUGGCACAAGAAAACACCAUAGUAUACUAUGUUGAAAAAUGUCAUUUUUCAACAUGUUGUGAAAACAUGUCAUAUGAUGAAAUAAUGUAAAGGAAGCUGCGAAAAACACUCCAGAAAGGUUUUCUUUGAAAAAAAAAUCCUGAUGAAUUUUGGCACAAGAAAACACCAUAGCAUACUAUGUCGAAAAAUGUCAUUUUUCAACAUGUUGUGAAAAUAUGCCAUAUGAUGAAAUAAUGUAAAGGAGGCCAUGAAAAACCCUAUGGUAAGGUUCUCUUUGAAAAAAAAAAUCAUGAAUUUUGGCGCAAAAAAAACGCCAUAGUAUACUCCUUUCGGAAAAAAGUGAUUUUUCAACAUGUAAAAACAUGCCAUAUGAUGAAAUAAUGUAAAGUAGGCCGUGAAAAACACUCCAGAAAGGUUUUCUUUAAAAAAAAUCAUCAUAAAUUUUAGCGCAAAAAAACGCCAUAGUAUACUAUGUCGAAAAAUGUCAUUUUUCAACACUAAAUCUUCUUGAAAAAUGUGUUUUACUUAAGUCCACCUGUUUCAGCCAUCUCUACCCCUCAUUAGGUACCACUCUAAGGUACAUUAUACAAACAAAAGUCCAGUAGACUCACUGUGUUUUGAAAUAGCAUGCAGAGCAAGUUAGUCUGCUCACAGGAAGUUAGCACGAGCAAAAUCACUCCUCACAUGAGGCCUCUGUUUGCUGUGAUUUUCAAAGGUAAAGUAAUACUUUUGACAUAUUAUGGUGCCUAAGGAGUUGCUGAACACAAAUGUGUCAUUUGAAAUGUUAAAAAAAAGAUUUAAAAGGGUAAAAUAAUUUUUCUCAACCGUUUGGUAGAGGUCAAUAUUUAAAAAAUCGCUGGGUCACUUCAUAAAGAAACCAUUGAUUGUUGUUAUUAGUGCCCCAAAGAGAUAAGAAAUAUAAAGAAAUAAUUUUUUCAUUGCCUUAUUCUUGGUGAG